rnacentral:rRNA from 1 species
UACGUAGGGUGCAAGCGUUAAUCGGAAUUACUGGGCGUAAAGGGUGCGUAGGCGGUUGGUUAAGUCUGUUGGGAAAUCCCCGGGCUCAACCUGGGAAUGGCAAUGGAUACUGGGCAGCUAGAGUGUGUCAGAGGGGGGUAGAAUUCCACGUGUAGCAGUGAAAUGCGUAGAGAUGUGGAGGAAUACCGAUGGCGAAGGCAGCCCCCUGGGAUAACACUGACGCUCAUGCACGAAAGCGUGGGGAGCAAACAGG